CAGGUGUCAGUGAUCAGGCUGAUCACAGCAAUCAACAACAACAAAAAGCAGAUUGAACUGUUGAACCCGGUUUCGCGCCUCUUCUCCGCAGUUUGAGCGGCGCGCUGCUCUCCUGCUUCAGUGACUCAGGAAACACCACAGAGGGAACGACAGCCUCCUGACAUGACAGCUCUUCUUGAGACAUUAUAAUCCAACUUGGAUGGAACAACUUCGUGACCUUAAUGACACCCAGCAACACGAUGUUUUUUUCUUUAUUUGUGUUAGAGACGCACACAAGCACCACAGGGGAGGAUCUGCAGCAAAGGGCCCACCGGAAAUCAAACCUUGGCCGCCAUGAUGACGACAACAUGGGGCACUUGAGUGUGAAUCUAGCCUUUUCAUUUUUAUUUACAACAUUAGCAUUGAAAAGAGUAAAAGUUGAUGCUUGAGAUGAUUUUGUUUUUACUGAAGAGGAUGUAUGUCCUCCCUUUGUCCUUUAUCCCCUUACUCUUUCUUUUUAGGUGUGAUUACGACUACCAGCAUGAACCUCAACGCCUUCUUUGCUGUUCCACUAGUGUGACCCAUGAUCUGAUACAAGUUGUCAAGGAUAAACGGGAAGAGAAUCAUGUCAGCCCACAGACAACCGGUUGACCUGUGAGUCUUCAAGCAGUAAUGAUGACUACGCCUGCCUUAAGUUCCAGUUUCCUGAACAUCAUGUCGGCAUGAGAUUCUGUCCCCACCUGUCUUCAGUCUGGACCCAAUGAGGUUUUUUUUUUUACAGUGCGUUUACAGUCACAUGGUUUAUUUCGAGGCUUUGUCUGAGUUUCAGUGCUGCAGUUAUUUACCAUUCAGGGUUGUUCAGAAACAUCCAAUUUGUCACUCAUUUGAAGGGCUUGCUGCUGUGAUUCUUUUGUGUAUACCAGGAUUUCUUUGUAUUUUGGCAUUUUACACAAAUGUUUUUGAAAGAUGGUCAACAAAGCUGCACAAAUAAAUGUUUACAUGCUGUUAUCCUAAA